GGCCCAAAGUUUCGUCUUGAACUCUCAGUGUCUGAGGCACCCCAUAUACAUUGCUGGAGUAAUGAUUACAUAAAAAAAAAAAAUGGAAGUUCCAUUACGGAGGCAUUGCAUGUCCUUAUGAAGGGAUGAAUGUGAGAAACAGGCCAGCAAUUGGUUAUAGCAGAAUUGUGUGAGACCGCCAUGGUUAGGAGACAGUGGUUACGGCCCCUUUGUUCAUCACUUGGUUCACAUAUUUGGGUGGGG
rnacentral:misc_RNA from 1 species